GUAGCUAUCAACAUUGAGACAAGACCAUCCAGCAGCAAAAUGAUGAUGACUUACUGAAGGCCCAGAUGAUGGUUAGCAUUUUUUGGCAAUCACGUAUUUUCAAAAACCAAACCUGCAAUAUCUCCAAGGUGUGCCUGUAUCCCUAGAAGCAGAGCUGGAGUAAGGACUUCGGUGUGGGUGGUUUAUUUGGGAAGUGAUUCCAAGAAGCAAGAGUCAGAAGUGGGAAGAGUGAGCCAGGCAAGAAAGAAAAGCCAAAAUAAUGGCAUGCUAUUGAGGCUCCUGCCAUGCAGUUUUUUCUGCAGGACCUUCCGAGAGGCUCCAGAAAGUUAUCCAGAACUGUCCACCUGAAACAUGAGCCUGGAGCAUUUGUCCACCUGUCCCACACUGGUUGAGGUCUUCCCCUGAGGCUGUUAACCUGCAAGUGUUUCUGGGCUGUAUUUGUGCUCAGGCAAAAUCCUACAAUAAUGGAGAUUCCCUAGGGCAGAAAGUGUACCUUGAGUUUGCUGGCAGCA
rnacentral:lncRNA from 1 species